GCGGAUUAGNUUNGNAUUUAUCAUUUUUUNUANUAUUNUAGUAUUAGAAAAUAAUUGGAAUAUUAUUACCAUAGAAGGUGAUAGUCCUGUAUAAUAUUAUAAAAUAAAAACAUAAAUGCAUUAAGUAGGGCGAUACACGUGAAAUAUUGCUUAAAGUAUAGGGAGACCACUCUCUAAAUCUAAAAAAAUAUAAUAAUCGAUAGUGUACUAGUACCGUGAGGGAAAGAUGAAAUAUGAUACCUAAAGUGGUAGUGAAAAGAUCCUGAAAUUUAAUGUUGAUAAUCAGUUGGAGCUUUAUAAUAUAAGUGACAACGUACCUUUUGUAUAAUGGGUCAGCAAGUUAAUUAAAUUAGCAAGUUUAAAUUGAUAAAUGCGAAACGUAGCGAAAGCGAGUCUGAAUUUAGGGCGUUAGUUAAUUUAAUUAUACCCGAAACCAAGUGAUCUAACUAUGAGCAGGCUGCGAAAAUAUAAUUUUUAAAGGCCGAACCCGUGUCUGUAGAAAUAUACUGGGAUGACUUGUGGUUAGGGGUGAAAGGCUAAUCAAACUUGGAGAUAGCUGGUUUUCCGCGAAAUCUAUUUAGGUAGAGCGUAAUAAAGAUAAUGAUUAGGGGUAGAGCACUCAAUGAUCUAGGGGGAUCCAAAAAUCUUACUGAAUUCAAUGAAACUUCGAAUACUAAUUUUUUUAACUAUUACAGACAGACUUUGGGUGCUAAGGUCCAAAGUCAAGAGGUAAACAGCCCAGAUCGUUUGUUAAGGUCCUUAAAUAUAAUUAAGUGAAUAAGGAUGCUAGAAAACUAGAACAACUUUGAGGUGGGCUUGGAAGCAGCCAUCCUUUUUAGAAAGCGUAACUGCUCAAUAGUCUAGAUUUCUAGUACCGAUAAUGUAUAGGGACUAAAUUAUAUACCGAAACAACGAAUGUAUAUUUACAUAGUAGCGGAACAUUCUGUUAAUUUGAAGUUUAAUUGACGAGAUUAAGUGGAGAUAUCAGAAUAGCGAAUGCUGACAUGAGUAACGUAAAACAACUUAUAAAAGUUGUCGCCGGAAAUAGAAGGGUUUCUACGGAAGGUUAAACCGCGUAGAGUUAAACGGUUCCUAAGAUGAUAUUUUAGAGUGUGAAAACUAUAAUCGAUGGAUAUUUUUAAAAAUAAUGACGGCAUUUAAGCCCGGGAAAGAGUUAUUUUAAUAUUAAUAAUAAACCGUACCCAAAACCAACACAGGUCUAUUGGCGCGUAAUGUGUUAAGGCGAUAGAGAUAACAAUAUUGAAGGAACUCGGCAAAAUUAUCUUGUAACUUCGGGAGAAAAGAUGGCUUUUUUAAAGCUCUCAGAAAAUUAGGGGGUAGCGACUGUUUAUUAAAAACACAAGACUCUGCAAAAUCUAAAAAUGACGUAUAGGGUCUGACACCUGCCCGGUGCUGUAAGGUUAACUCAUGAAGAUUUAGGUCUUUUAAAGAAGCCCCAGUAAACGGCGGCCGUAACUCUGACGGUCCAAAGGUAGCGAAAUUCCUUGUCGGGUAAGUUCCGACCCGCACGAAUGGUGUAACGACUUCCCCACUGUCUCCAAUAUUGACUCUGUGAAAUUGAACUAUCCGUGAAGAUGCGGAUUAUCUACAGCUAGACGGAAAGACCCCGUGCACCUUUACUGCAGCUUUAUAAUGAGAGGAACAUUAAUUGUAUAGGAUAAGUGGUAGCUUUUUAGACCUUAACAUAAGUUAAAUGUUUAAAGCAACCUUGGAAUACCACUCUUU
rnacentral:rRNA from 1 species